rnacentral:rRNA from 1 species
GACGAACGCUGGCGGCGUGCUUAACACAUGCAAGUCGAGCGGUAAGGCUCCUUCGGGCGUACACGAGCGGCGAACGGGUGAGUAACACGUGAGUAAUCUGCCCUUCACUUCGGGAUAACCACCGGAAACGGUGGCUAAUACCGAAUACGACCAGUCUUCGCAUGAGGUGCUGGUGGAAAGUCUUUUCGGUGAAGGAUGUGCUCGCGGCCUAUCAGCUUGUUGGUGGGGUAAUGGCCUACCAAGGCUUCGACGGGUAGCCGGCCUGAGAGGGUGACCGGCCACACUGGGACUGAGACACGGCCCAGACUCCUACGGGAGGCAGCAGUGGGGAAUAUUGGACAAUGGGCGAAAGCCUGAUCCAGCGACGCCGCGUGAGGGAUGACGGCCUUCGGGUUGUAAACCUCUUUCAGUACCGACGAAGAGCCCGGUCGGGUGGUGACGGUAGGUACAGAAGAAGGACCGGCCAACUACGUG